UAUCACUCUGUUUGAAUUCAGCUAUUCAGGUAAAGAAAGGGAAUUGGCAGGUACAUGAACACUGACUUCGAAACUAUGGCGCUGGAGAUUGGUUCCAACUUCCAAAUUUACUCGUGAGAAAGAGCUUAGCCGAAGUGCUCAUUAUGUUCGUCCGGCCUUCCCUUCUCACAAAAUUUGCUCCAACUGUAGCUGAUUUGAGUACAACAAUUGUAUGUAGAGUAGAAAUACUUAAGAAGUUGAACUAAUUUUGCACCAAAUUUGCACAUGAUCACUGGAAUAUCCUGCUCAUUUUGAAGAAAUUACCACAACACAUUAAUUCAUUCUUGAGUGAAAAGAAUAGCUUCCUUGAGAGUUGUCGCUGGUAAUAAGAGCAAAUGACCAGUUAUGAGGUUAAAAUUGUAUUCUCAAGGGCAGGCACAUGUUGGAAUGGCUCUAGAAUGUUUUAGGGGUGACAACAACCUUUGCAAAAACACAAGGUAAGACUGAUUGCUUUAGACCUAAAGUGGGGGCCAGCACAUAGCGGGAGAUUCUUGCACCAGGCUGCUCCUCUGAAGGUCUAGAAUGUUAUAUUUGUCGUAUUUACUAUUGGAUGGAGAAGGCACAGAAGACUUCAUUUCGAAAAAUUGCAUUUCCUAUUGCCCAAUAUAGUGGUGCUGAAGGUUGGCAUGACAAUAGAAUAGUAAACAGAUCCAUAUGCUAACUGAGCUGGUUUGGCUAUGUUUUGCAAAGUCAGUAUUCUGGUUUCCAACCUUUUCAUUCACUGCGAGACUACA